rnacentral:lncRNA from 1 species
UCCUGAUCCUCUUUGACUACCCUCAUCAAUUGCAGCACCCAUAUUAGAUUUCAUUGUUCCCUGCACGACUACAGUUUUAAAGUUUGAUUAAUAGUUCUGAAAAAAACAGGCAAGGCAUAAAAUAAUAUUUUAAUGUUAAUUUUCAUGUACCUCUGCUUGUCUAGUUCUUUUCUUAAUUAUCUUAUCAGCUUUCUGACAAGAACCAAAUGUAACCAUCUUCUUCAUAUCUUCCGGUUCAUGAGUCUGCAAUCUAGAGUGUUUGCUCUUCCCAAAUUGUUCAGCAGGGGCAACAAAGUCGUGUUCCUCGUCACUAAAAACCUCAUCUUGUCUUGUUUUCCCGAUCACCCCCUCCGUUCUCAAAUCCAAACUUUCAAGGGUCGUCCAACUUUUAUUUCCUACUCCACUUCAAGUUUUGUUUACCGGAUCCAGCGCCUGGUUUAUUGAAUUAUGUUGUCCAGCAAAUGAUUCCUCCUCCUCAUCAACUAAAUUAACAUAAAUUGGAGCCUGUUUGGGCCAGUUGUAGACCCAAGGACUCUCGAUGAGUCUUGCGCUUCUCCGUCGUUCUGCAAAUAGGUGAAUGAAACAAGUUAUAAAUUAAAGACUUUAAAAAAUUCAUUUUAGUCAUUCAGAUUCAAAUAAGCAAGGAUGAGUUUUUUUGUUAAUCCUUAUAACCAAUUACAUUUUACUGGACCUUGUUUU